UUCAAGUCUAGCCCAACGGUCUGAUGAAGAGAUAAAUGAUCAGUUUGCCCCUUUCAAUAGUCAUAUAAUAAUUAUAUUCAUGUAUAUUUUGAUUAUUUUAUAAUUUAAAAAAUAAAAAAAUAGAUUUAUCCCCACCAACAACCACAUAAUAGUUAGUUUGGGGGUUACUUUAGAAAAAAUUAAAAACCCCAUAAAUACCCAC
rnacentral:lncRNA from 1 species